rnacentral:rRNA from 1 species
UACGUAGGGAGCAAGCGUUGUCCGGAAUCAUUGGGCGUAAAGCGCGCGUAGGUGGCCAUGUAAGUCCGCUGUGAAAGUCAAAGGCUCAACCUUUGAAAGCCGGUGGAUACUGCAUGGCUAGAGUACGGAAGAGGCGAGUGGAAUUCCUGGUGUAGCGGUGAAAUUCGUAGAUAUUGGGAAGAACACCGGUGGCGAAGGCGGCGCUCUGGACCGAGACUGACGCUGAGGCGCGAAAGCGUGGGGAGCAAACAGG